GUUUAGUGGCGGGGGCAGCAGCCACGAAUCUACCACACGUUGAACGGAUACACACCUGCAUCACCGGCCCUGCUUUCUUCCUGCCAAGUGAAUGAAGCCCCUGAGUCAGAGGCAGGAACCUUAGCCAGCAACCUUCCCAGGUCUUAUCACCCACAGCGCCUUCCAAACCACCUCAGGGAGGAGGGCGUCCAGGUGUGCUCACCUGCAUCACCUUUCGUUGGUUAGUUUUUCCAUUGACAAGAUGGCGACCACGAAGGGACCAGAGAUGAACCGGAGAUCUUCUGAGGGGAUGCUUCGAAUCUGGUGCCUGGUACCAACAGUGGGCCCUUUGUGCCCUCUACAGCUACAAGCCUCUCCUGGGGGAGGUCCAGUAAGUCCUCUGGCCUCGGACCUCCCAAAAUUUAGUAGACUUUCUGGUUUAUUUCUAAGCUGGUUUGCUUUUUCAUCUGUCUUAUGUCUGUUUGUCUGUUUUGGGUAACCCAGGUUCACAGGCUCCUCAGGCAAGGGGUUGGUCGCAGGUGAGGGGUGUGGUUCUUGCACUCCUCAGGCGGAGUUCCUGGUUCUCUCCUACUCCUCAGGCAAGGGGUCGGUCGCGGAGGAGGGGUCAAGGUUCCCCUGCUCCUCAGGUGGGGGCUCCCAGGUCCCGCGCUCCUUAGGCAAGGGGUCAGUCAAGGGCGAGGGGCCCCGGUUUCUGCUCGCUGAGUCAUGGGGGGAGGGUAGGGGGGGUCACGGUUUUGCACUCUCUUCCACUGGGGAGUGGCAGUUCCCGCGCUCCUCAGGCAGGGGGCUAGUUUGCUCUCUGAGUAAGGUGCAGUGUUUUGUUUCCUCUUUGAGCAAGUAGUUAAGAAACUAAAAGUAUAAAAGUACAUUAGUUAAAAAAAAAAAGGGAAAAGGAAAAAAAAGUGUUCUAAGGGGUCU